GACGAACGCUGGCGGCGUGCUUAACACAUGCAAGUCGAACGGAAAGGCCCUGCUUUUGUGGGGUGCUCGAGUGGCGAACGGGUGAGUAACACGUGAGUAACCUGCCCUUGACUUUGGGAUAACUUCAGGAAACUGGGGCUAAUACCGGAUAGGAGCUCCUGCUGCAUGGUGGGGGUUGGAAAGUUUCGGCGGUUGGGGAUGGACUCGCGGCUUAUCAGCUUGUUGGUGGGGUAGUGGCCUACCAAGGCUUUGACGGGUAGCCGGCCUGAGAGGGUGACCGGCGACAUGGGGACUGAGAUACGGCCCAGACUCCUACGGGAGGCAGCAGUGGGGAAUAUUGCACAAUGGGCGGAAGCCUGAUGCAGAAACGCCGCGUGCGUGAUGACGGCCUUCGGGUUGUAAACCGCUUUCGCCUGUGACGAAGCGUGAGUGACGGUAAUGGGUAAAGAAGCACCGGCUAACUACGUG
rnacentral:rRNA from 1 species